CUCACAAUGGACGUGGCUCGUUUCAGGUGUGUGAAGAAGUCAGGUGCUAGUCAUGAGACUUAGCUGCAUCCUGGGCGCCAUCUUGGGACUGCCACCACAUCCGCUCCCCACAUCCUUUGUGACUGUAUGGCUCAGAAUGGCUCCCUACACAAGGAAGGACAAUUAAGUUUCUGAUACUACUCCUCAUGUACCGGGACAACUCACAGACUAAUGGUGCUUGAAAGUCUUAGGACAGCCCCAGAUCUCAGAGGACCUCAGAAACAGAAUUCACAGUUCACAAGAUGUUGCAGUGUUUAAACAGAAAGCAUUCUGCUAUGGCAAAGAGUGAUGAAAAACCAACAUAUAGUGUGUAAUCCUGGGAAAGUUGAACAUAACUACAGCUUCAGGAUACACUCAUCUCUAAGUCUUGAGUGUACUGCCCUUGUGUUCUCAUCUGCAUGAGUUCUGCUAGUGUGAAGAAAUCACAUGCAGGAAAUCAGGCACAUGACCCUAAUCUCAAGCUAAACUGCAAAGCA
rnacentral:lncRNA from 1 species